AUUGAACGCUGGCGGCAUGCCUUACACAUGCAAGUCGAACGGUAACAGGUCUUCGGAUGCUGACGAGUGGCGAACGGGUGAGUAAUACAUCGGAACGUGCCCGAGAGUGGGGGAUAACGAGGCGAAAGCUUUGCUAAUACCGCAUAAGAUCUAAGGAUGAAAGCAGGGGACCGCAAGGCCUUGCGCGAACGGAGCGGCCGAUGGCAGAUUAGGUAGUUGGUGGGAUAAAAGCUUACCAAGCCGACGAUCUGUAGCUGGUCUGAGAGGACGACCAGCCACAGUGGGACUGAGACACGGCCCAGGCUCCUACGGGGGGCAGCAGUGGGGAAUUUUGGACAAUGGGCGAAAGCCUGAUCCAGCCAUGCCGCGUGCAGGAUGAAGGCCUUCGGGUUGUAAACUGCUUUUGUACGGAACGAAAAGACUCUUUCUAAUAAAGAGGGUCCAUGACGGUACCGUAAGAAUAAGCACCGGCUAACUACGUGCCAGCCGCCGCCGUAACAC
rnacentral:rRNA from 1 species